UGGUAGUNCACGCCGUAAACGAUGAGUGCUAGGUGUUAGGCCCUUUCCGGGGCUUAGUGCCGGAGCUAACGCAAUAAGCACUCCGCCUGGGGAGUACGACCGCAAGGUUGAAACUCAAAGGAAUUGACGGGGGCCCGCACAAGCGGUGGAGCAUGUGGUUUAAUUCGAAGCAACGCGAAGAACCUUACCAGGUCUUGACAUCCCGAUGCUAUUCUUAGAGAUAGGAAGUUACUUCGGUACAUCGGAGACAGGUGGUGCAUGGUUGUCGUCAGCUCGUGUCGUGAGAUGUUGGGUUAAGUNNNNNNNNNNNNCGCAACCCUUAUUGUUAGUUGCCAUCAUUAAGUUGGGCACUCUAGCGAGACUGCCGGUAAUAAACCGGAGGAAGGUGGGGAUGACGUCAAAUCAUCAUGCCCCUUAUGACCUGGGCUACACACGUGCUACAAUGGUCGGUACAACGAGUUGCGAGCCGGUGACGGCAAGCUAAUCUCUGAAAGCCGAUCUCAGUUCGGAUUGGAGGCUGCAACUCGCCUCCAUGAAGUCGGAAUCGCUAGUAAUCGCGGAUCAGCACGCCGCGGUGAAUACGUUCCCGGGCCUNG
rnacentral:rRNA from 1 species